GUGCUCGCUUCAGCAGCACAUGUACUGAAAUUGGAACAAUACAGAGAUGGGCGUGGCCUCUGCACAAGGAUGACACGCAAAUUUAUGAAGUGUUCCACUGGGAA